GUGGUCUCAGCUGCCUCCUGCCUCCCUCAGCUGCACCCAAAUCCUCUCAGGGCAGGAUAAAGGAAACUCAAUCCACUCAUCUUGUUGAUUGAAAAAGAAAAUGCUAAAAUGUAAAAGGAAGAGAAGAGAGGACUUAAUAUUGAUUGUAAUGCAUCAUUUUCCUCUGACUGCUUUGAAGAUUUCAUCAUGAAAAUUUCUCACCAGUUUGAUUUCGAUGUUUCUGAGCAUGGAUUUCUUUGAGGUAAAGUGCUUGAAACUUCAUGAAGCCAACUUGUGAUCAUGAGGAGCCAAGACUGAGCACAAUCCUCAAUAGGCUGAAGAUGGCAAAGGGGAAAGACAGAAAAAAAACCUGGAACACUAACAAUGUUGUUGAGACACUGAAAUAGACAAUCCUGGAAGUGAUCUAUCUCUGAACUUACUAUUUACAGGAGAUGAUUUCUUUCUUUCUUUUUUUUAAUCAUUAAGCCAAUGAAUGUUGGGCUUUCUGCCAAAUACAGUUGAAA
rnacentral:lncRNA from 1 species